rnacentral:rRNA from 1 species
GACAGAGGGUGCAAACGUUGUUCGGAAUUACUGGGCGUAAAGCGCGUGUAGGCGGCCCGGUAAGUCCGCUGUGAAAGUCGGGGGCUCAACCCUCGGAUGCCGGUGGAUACUGUCGGGCUUGAGUGCGGAAGAGGCGAGUGGAAUUCCUGGUGUAGCGGUGAAAUGCGCAGAUAUCAGGAGGAACACCAGUUGCGAAGGCAGCUCGCUGGGACGUUACUAACGCUGAGACGCGAAAGCGUGGGGAGCAAACAGG